UACGUAGGGUGCGAGCGUUGUCCGGAAUUAUUGGGCGUAAAGAGCUCGUAGGCGGCUUGAUAAGCGUGCGGUGAAAGCCCGGGGCUCAACCCCGGGUCGGCCGUGCGAACUGUCGAGCUGGAGCACUGUAGAGGCAGGUGGAAUUCCGGGUGUAGCGGUGGAAUGCGUAGAGAUCCGGAAGAACACCGGUGGCGAAGGCGGCCUGCUGGGCAGUGGCUGACGCUGAGGCGCGACAGCGUGGGGAGCAAACAGG
rnacentral:rRNA from 1 species